rnacentral:RNase_P_RNA from 1 species
GAAAGAUACCGCCCAAGACUGCUUCGGCAGGACGGCAAGGGUGAAAUGGUGCGGUAAGAGCGCACCGCGAGUCCGGCAACGGACCGGCACGGCAAACCCCACCGGGAGCAAGACCAAAUAGGGAGGCCAUGCUGCGGCCCGCAGUGCCUCCGGGUAGGUUGCUCGAGCGUCGCGGUGACGCGGCGCCUAGAGGAAUGACUGUCCACGACAGAACCCGGCUUACAGGCCGGCUCCGCCA